GAAAAUUCUUUUGAAAUAGUUGAAAUUUCAUAUGGAAUGAUGGAGAGUUUUAAAGCUACAAAUGCUUGUAUACACUUUGCUUUAAGUGUUAAAGCAAAUGGUAAAGCAAAGUUAAGAAAUAGUUUAAAUUGGCUUCGUGUAUUGGGAUUUACAAAUGUACCUUUAAAUGAAUCACUAUUUAAGAUUUAGGAAUACUUUAUUUUGCUGGUGGCUCAGGAUGAAAUUUUAGUUUUCCCCAUGGUAUUCAUUUUAUAUUGAAGUUGGUAUUUGGUUGAGAUUCCUCUAAGAAAACUGUAGAAUCUCAUUCUGUGAGCUAUUUUGAGUUCUGUGUGCAGGCUUGGUCUGUUUGGUUUAUGGGGCUGUAACACAGGAAUUAACAUUGACAACAGAGUUAGAUCUUGGGAUUUGUCCAAUAUUAUCUCUAAGUGCUAGAAAUUAAAAAUAUUUCCCUUUAGGGUGGUAAGUGAGUGUGUAAGUUUGGGGCACAGUGAGAAAAAAAGAGGCCAAAAAGCAUGUCAGGUGUCAUUGCUUGUUAUUAGCCCAGAGAAUGAUGUUUGGUUGUCAUUAGGGACAGAGGGUUGCUUUUUGUUCUUUGUUUUUUGUUUUUGUUUUUGUUUUUUUUUUUGGAUGGAGGAGAAGUAUGAAUUUUUAGGAUGAAUUGCAGCUGGGAACCAGUGAUUGAAUAUUGCAGCCCACCAUUUUAGGCCUGGGUGAACCACUUUCCCCAUGGGAUUAUAAGUGGCAAGAUCAGGCAGGGGGGAUAUUGAGGAAAGACCUUUUUGUUUCCUAUUCUGGUGAUUUCCCUGAGGUUUCUGCUGGUUGUCUGGUAAGUAUGAUUUGCUUUGCCAGUGAGAAAAGCCCUGUGUUUUCUUUUGAAGGGGGACGUGUCUGAUCUUUGGAUUUAAAUUGAAUCAAACUCUGGACUACUUGGCUUUCACAAGCAGUAAAUUGCAACUUCAGGUAAUAGUAGAGCAGGAAAUAAAAGAUAGAUUUAUGGGUAAUCUAGGAGAUCACAGUGUUCUAGGAGAUCACAGUGAAGUUACAUUUGAGGAUUUGAGCAGUUUUUUUUCUCUCCACAAUGGAAGUGAAGUAAAAUGAGUACCAUUGUCAUUGACAGGAGCAACUUGGUCUGUUAGGUCCCUUAGCCAGGCAAAUAUAGCAAGCCUACUUUGACUUCUUUUUGUUUGAGGUGUUUUUUUAAUGUUUAUUUAUUUCGAGAGAAAGAGUGUGAGUGGGGGAGGGGGAGAGAUAGAGAGAGAGAAAGAGAGAGAGAGAGAGAGAGAGAGAGAAUCCUAAGCAGGCUCUGCAUUGUCAGUCCAGAUCGUGACAUGGAGCUUGAUGUGGAUCUUGAUCUCAUGAACUGCGAGAUCAUGACCUGAACCGAAAUCUAGAAUCAGACACUUAACUGAAUGAGCUACCCAGCCACCCCUUGUUUGAGUUUUUUUAAACAGAGAACCAUUGAACCAUCACAUUGUUUCGAAUUAAAAGGCUAAAGAUACAGAAGUUCUAUCACUGAGGAAGGAGCAAUGCCUCAUUUCUUUCCUAACCCUGACUACCUCAUAUCCCUCUUCAAAAACCUUCUACUCACCAUUGCUUCCCUAUCACAUCCCAGUGCCUGUGCUGAGUGAGAUAUAUUGGUUUACUCAGCUUUGGGGGCAACAGGAACCUAUUAUAAUGAUGGCUAUGAAGGUAAAUCAGGAAGAUUAUUUGCCCAGAGCCACACAUUGAGGAAGGUCCCCAAAUUUAAAAUUUCAUGUGGCAAUAUAUUUUGCAUGUGUGUUGAAGAUAUUUAUUAGGUAGCUCUAAACAUUGAAAAGCAACCAUGGUUUCUGUAACCCUGUUUUGGCAUUUUCUUUCUUUCUUUCUUUUCUUUCUUUCUUUCUUUAAUUUUUUUUUCUUAGUGUUUAUUUUCGAGACAGAGAGAGAUAGAGCAUGAGUGGCAGAGGGGCAGAGAGAGAGGGAGACACAGAAUCUGAAGCAGGCUCCAGGCUGUGAGCUGUCAGCACAGAGCCUGACAUGGGGCUUGAACUCACGAACUGUGAGAUCAUGACCUGAGCCGAAGAUGGAUGCUUAACCAACUGAGCCACCCAGACAUGGGGAGUUUCAGAGGUCAUGCCCUCCCUGGAACCUUCUUCAUUACCAUGGGUAUUUGGUGGACCAUAAAGUGCACUCUGAAGUAUGCCUGCAAAAAGCACAAACGGACUUCCUACCUUGGUUCCAAAGCAUUAUUCCAUCGAAUAGAUAUUGUGGAGGGAAUUACAAUAAUUUGCAUGGCUUUAACUGGCAUGCUUGGAGAGCAGUUUGUGACUGAAGGGCCCCACUUGGCUUUAUAUAACUAUAAAGAGGGCCAGUGGGUCCAACUCCUGAGCUGGCAUCAUUCCACCAUGUAUUUCUUCUUCGGGCUGGUGGGCGUGGCAAACAUCUUAAGGUUUAUCAUCAAUUCGUUUCCCAUUUCCUUAAUCAAAUUGCUGUUGUCGAAUGCCUUAUUUGUUGAGGCUUUUAUCUUGUACAACCACACUCAUGGCCGGGAAAUGCUGGACAUCUUUGUGCACCAGCUGCUGGUCUUGGCUGUCUUUGUGGCAGCCCUGAUAGGCUUCUUGGAGUUCUUUGUAAGGAACAAUGUCAUUGUGGAGCUUCUUCAGAUGACCUUUAUCCUGCUUCAGGGAAGCUGGUUCUGGCAGAUUGGUUUUGUCCUUUAUCCCCCUAGUGGAGGUCCUGCAUGGGAUUCAAUGGAUCAUGACAACAUUAUGUUUCUCAGCAUAUGCUUUUGUUGGCAUUACACAUUACACAUUGUCAUUGUUGGAGUGAUUUAUGCCUUUGUUACUUGGCUGACAUCUGGGCCUCAUCCCCUUAGGGGCUGGGCAGCCUCCAAGAAUAAAGGCGACAUUCAAGGAGCCUCUCUAGCUCAUGUCAGCUCUCUUCCAUGGCCAAAAGAAGACUACUGUCUCUUCCUGUUUCAAAAGGCUUCAGACCCCUCUUAUCCACUUACAACUUUCUAGAAACCAGAAACUCCAUGUUUAUUUUCUCAACACUCCCCACCUCCAGACACCUUUAUCUUUUGUGACCACUUAGUCCCCUCUACCUGGCAUAUCCAAAUCAAACGCCAUGUCUUCUAUGAAAACUUCUGUGAUAAUUCUAGCCCUCAUUUCCCUUCAUGAGUUUGGAUAGUACUUGAGUCGCUACUACUCAUUUUAACAAUUGUGAUCUAUCUUUACUAUUAGCCAGUCUUAUCUGCUAGCUAGGUUGUAUCACUUUAAGGAAAAGACCCUUUUCAUAUUUCACAUGGCUGUUGGCAUGCUAUCAAACAUGCAGUAGGUAUUCAUUAAACACUUAUUUGCACUUUUAAUAGAUCUACUCAGUUACAUGAGUAUGGGCUUUAUUUGUUUGGAAAUCAUGUUUCAGAUGCUUUUCAGUUUUGCUCUCAUAUUGCUUUGGAAAUAUAAGACCAAGAGCUCAUGUUAUGAGGUUGGUUAAAUCUCGACUUAAGAGGUUCUGCUCCUCAGAAGUUGGACUCCUGAAAAAUACUGAACGAGAACAAGAAUCAGAAGAAGAG